ensembl:misc_RNA Metazoa_SRP Metazoan signal recognition particle RNA
GCAGGGUGCGAUGGCACAUGCCUGUAGUCCCAGCCACUCUGGAGGCUGAGGUGGGAGGAUCACUUGAGCGCAUGAGUUCUGGGCUGUAGUACUCUAUGCUGAUUGGGUGUCCGCACUAAUUUCGGCAUCAAUAUGGUGACCUCCUGGAAACGGGGACCACCAGGUUGCCUAAGGAGGGGUGAACUGGCCCAGGUUGGAAACGGAGCAGAUCGAAACUCCCGUGCUGAUCAGUAGUGGGAUCGCACCUGCACUCCAGCCUGUCAAUAUAGUGAGACCCCGUAUCUA